rnacentral:rRNA from 1 species
GAUGCAUAGCCGAGUUGAGAGACUGAUCGGCCACAUUGGGACUGAGACACGGCCCAAACUCCUACGGGAGGCAGCAGUAGGGAAUCUUCCACAAUGGACGCAAGUCUGAUGGAGCAACGCCGCGUGAGUGAAGAAGGUUUUCGGAUCGUAAAGCUCUGUUGUUGGUGAAGAAGGAUAGAGGUAGUAACUGGCCUUUAUUUGACGGUAAUCAACCAGAAAGUCACGGCUAACUACGUGCCAGCAGCCGCGGUAAUACGUAGGUGGCAAGCGUUGUCCGGAUUUAUUGGGCGUAAAGCGAGCGCAGGCGGAUUGAUAAGUCUGAUGUGAAAGCCUUCGGCUCAACCGAAGAACUGCAUCAGAAACUGUCAAUCUUGAGUGCAGAAGAGGAGAGUGGAACUCCAUGUGUAGCGGUGGAAUGCGUAGAUAUAUGGAAGAACACCAGUGGCGAAGGCGGCUCUCUGGUCUGUAACUGACGCUGAGGCUCGAAAGCAUGGGUAGCGAACAGG